rnacentral:rRNA from 1 species
UACGUAGGGUCCGAGCGUUGUCCGGAAUUAUUGGGCGUAAAGGGCUCGUAGGCGGUCCGUCACGUCGGGAGUGAAAACUCAGGGCUCAACCCUGAGCGUGCUUCCGAUACGGGCGGACUAGAGGUAUGCAGGGGAGAACGGAAUUCCUGGUGUAGCGGUGAAAUGCGCAGAUAUCAGGAGGAACACCGGUGGCGAAGGCGGUUCUCUGGGCAUUACCUGACGCUGAGGAGCGAAAGCAUGGGGAGCGAACAGG